rnacentral:lncRNA from 1 species
AGGAAGAAGUAAGUUAGUCCUAACAUGUCAGUCGACCUGAGAAUCUACACAGAAGCGACAGAACUAUAGCAACCAAAUUGCAAACACAGAACAACACACUUCCAAUUACUUCAUCACAAACAUUAUCAAACAGUAACAACAUUUGAUCAUCUUAUCCAUAUAUUGUAUAUAACCCAAUGGCAGUUGACACACUAUAAAGUUGUUUAAAAUCAAACACUCAAGAAUUAUAACAACUGUGCAAAGUGUCAACAUUCAUCCAAAUCACACUACAUAAGCUCAUCUAUAAAAUAUAUCUAGCUACUCAUUAUCAAUGUUCAACCCAUACAACAACAAUGGGAAUGCAUGCACAACUGAUGUAUCACACUGAACUAAGCUGAAAACCAGAACACCCCAACUCACUUGUAUGAAAUACAUGGAACAAGAACGAAAAACAAAAUGUGAGAGUUUUACAUUCACUACAUCAAAACUGGCGAGAUUUUACCUCAUGUAUGCGCACCAUUACCAUUCACAUCCAAUUCCACUUCCCCGCCAGCCUUGUUCCUAACCACUUUACCCUCUUCUCUAACCUCCUCCUCCUCCUCAUCAGAAUCCAAAGUAAACUGCCCCUGACUAUCAAUCUGAUGCUGCAUUUCCGCCCCAAGCGGCUUAUACCUCGAAAUAUCACCCCCACCACCACCACCUCCUGUCUUCCUCACCACAACCGAAUACACCCCAACAACCAAAACCACAAUCAGAGCCAAAUGGCAGUUAAACUGCAGCGUCGCGAUAGCUCUCGCCCUAUGAUACUCCGGAUGGCCCUUACACUUGACCGUAUAAUUCCCCCUGCUCUUCUCCUUCAACACGCACCCGUGCGCCAUCCAACGCGUGUAAAUCGAAAGCCCCAUUUGAAAGAACCACAGCCCCUGCAGCACCAGCCCCACUCCUCGAACCAAGUUGGGGAUUACCGAACUAGAGUUGUUGCGCAAUUGAAGAAGCGUGCCGAACAAGCAGACGAAGAUCGGCACCAGCAGCAUGUCGAAGUAGCGGUUCUCGAUUCCGACGGUGUCUUUUCUCCGGAGAUAAAAGUACAUGAACUCUUCGACGAACGCGAAAAGGCCGAUCAGGUUGAGGAGGGAGGAAGGGAAGGAGGAGUUGUUGAGGGUGAGGAGGCCGGUGAGGGAGUAGAGGAGGAAGAGGGCGGCGAUCGCGGCGACCUGGAGCUGCUGGGCCGACCCGACCCGGUCGUGGGAGUUGACGGCGUCGAAGAAGGAGAUGAGGGAGUUGAGGAUGAAGAGGAAGGAGAGGAGGGAAGCGGAGAGGAAGUAGAUGAAGGAGGAUCUGGACGGCGUCGUUUGGGGUUUGGAUUGGGGGAGAUUGGAGGGUGGAGAUGAGGUGGUGGUGGAAGCGAUGGCUUCGAAUGUGCCCAUGAGGAUGAGGCCGAAGCCUGCGGCAGCGAAGGUGAGGAAUCCCAUGGCUUGGUUCCUUCCUUUCUCGGGUCAGCAGACUUUGAUAUCUGAGACGAUCGGGGUCUUGUGGCGCCUUGUUGUGAAGGGUGCGUGUCAUGGUGGACUUUUUCUUUUUGUUUUUGUCAGCGGAAGCAAUGUAUUUAGAUGGUCCAAAAAAGACGACUUAAUACAACCUAACAUAGUGGACUAUAACUCCAGCGUUAUUCGAGACGGUCUGUUACAUGCGUUGUGCAAUGACAUCCGGCGAGUCUAAGUUAGGGUGAUUCUAAGUUUAUUAUUGACCUUAUUAAUAAUAGGUCCCCCUCUCCGUGGAGACUCCUUACUCUUCUUAGUGAUGUUGGCUGGAUGGCUUCUAAGUUUGAAGAGAUCACCUUUAAGUAUGUCCCUUGGGAAGUAAAUUUUGUGGCUGAUGCAAUGGCUAGCUUGGGGCAUCAGGUCCCAUAUCCAACUCUCUCGAAUCGCAAGCUCCCACUCUCUGCGUUUAAUGCUUUUAAUUUUGAUCGUUUUAAUAUAAGCUGUUGUAGAGGUUUCUCUUUGUAAUUUCCUUUUUCUCAUAAAAAAAAACAUAGUGGACUGUUGAGUAUUUUUUAUUUGUGAUGAGAAAAAUGUAAGAGUAUGAGGAGGAUGGUUCUGUGAAAACGGGAGCGGUCUGGUGUAGUAGGCUGCCUUCAGAUGGAUCCGAUCAUGGACGGGCACGUCGGGUUGGUUCGAUUUAGCGGUUAAUACAAAGCAAAACCACGACUAUCUUUCGUUUCUAGCUUAUUUGAAUGAAAUGAUGUUGCAUACACCAAAAGAGAAAAACAAUGAAACCAAACUAGAGAAACAGAAACAAAAUGCCUUAGCUUCAACACUUUCUGUGAUAAAAUUAGCUUCUAUGUGUAUAUGUUGAAAGAUGCAAACUUGAACAUAAGAAACAAAAAGCUACAAAAUAUUUGAACAAGUGACUUCAAACACUAUGAUAUAAUGUAAUAAAACGGGUGAGAGCUCGGUUAAAGUUUCGCCUAAAUAGACUAUGAGGUCUUAACCUCACCAACCUUUUGGAUUAGAUCCGAUACUUCUUAACUAUAUAAUACUAUGAUGACACAUGUAGUUAUUCGAAAUGUAUGACACAUGCAUUAUGUCGAAAUAAGCAUAUGAUCUAUGUACAUAACAUAUACAUAAUCAUCAUGUGUUUACAUAUACAAACAUGCAUGAACGUAAAAUCUAUAGAAUUUAUAAACUAAUGACUUAUUUGUAAAUAACCUCGAGUUCAAUUACUUAGGAGGGGAUAGUAGAUAUAUUAUUGAUUUCAUAUGAUACUAUACGACUCAUAUGGAGGAUAUCUUCUUGUAUCAACAAUUCAUUCAACUUCAUUAUCCACGUUUCAUUGGGUUCUUCUAUCUCAAGCAAGUACCUGUCACCAGUAAACUUCACUCAUCUUAUCAGUUAUGGUCUUGACUUUGUGAUCUUGACAAUUCAUGUGAAACAUCUCUAACAAGACGAAAUCAUUGAAAUGAAAAAGAAAAUAUAGAAGGGGAGAGAAAAAUGUGGGCUGGAUAAGAUAAAGGCAUUAUCCGGAUAGGCCCAAACCGAUACAGCGGACCCACCUCCUUGCUAUCUUCUACAUUUCUAUGUUCUAUGAUUCGCUACACACAACCAUAUAGUCACCUUGCUCUAGCAAAUUAGAAAUGAUCAAAAUUGCCUCUUAUUGGUUCAGCUCUAGCUGUAGAAACAACUCCCACUAGACCGCGUUGCAGAGGAUACAACCUCCCCGUGAACUUUCUUGUGUAUAAAUACUUGGAUUCUGGUCCGGUACUGUACAAACUCGUCUCCUUUAUUUCUGUUCACGAAGACCAAGAUCAAAACCAGAGAGUCAUGAAGAUUACAGCGCUUGUUCAUUUGGUUUCUGUAAUCUACGUGGUUUCUGUGUUGCUGGGUAUGCAUGAAGCUGUACACGGGAGGCUUCUAUCAGCGAAGGAUAAACCCAGCCCCAAAAAUGCUGCUGCUACUGCUCGUUGGCUUGUCUCUCAGAACUCCUGGGGUGUCUUGAAGUAAUUUUACUCUCUAUCUCUAUCUCUGUGCUUCUAUCUUAUUGUUACAGUAAUAAUUGAUCAGGGCACCUCAGCUUUCUUAGAGUAACUGGUUUUUUCUGAGGCUGCUGAUUGAGGAGGAGGAAUUAAUUUAUUGAAAUUUUUAUUGGCUAUUUGAUUAGUUAGAGAUUCCAUUUUGUAUGGUAAUGAAAUCGGGUGUUUAGGUACAUAGAUUUUUUUUUGAUUGACUUAGUUGGAACAAGAUGGUUGCUAUAAAUCAGGUUGAAGAAAUAAAGACAGGAACUUUACUGUUGUUGAAAUUUUUCAGGAUGUCAUCCUAUCAGUAAGAUCUGAAAAGAUUAUUCAUUUUGGCUGAAAAAAAGAAGAAGUGUGAUAUGGAAAGUGAAACUGUCUGCUGCUUUCCAAGCUUGUAAAGAUUUUGACUUGUGUUUGCUUAUGUAUUAUCUUUGUGUUUGGAAGCAUGGAUUUGAAAUUUGAAUCUUACUUCUGGUUUCUGUGUUUGCAGUACCAUCUCAGGUGAAUUGGGAGGAGCACCCUUUGGGUAAGAUUUUAUCUUUUAUAAUUUUGUGACUAUUGUCUAUGUUAUCCUAGUCCUCAUCGAUGAUGUGUAUGUGUUUCAGCUUGGCUCUUUUAGAUAAUAUUACUAGUUUUGGUGUCUUUUUUGUCACACAUUAAGUUCAAGUAUAGCUCAUAACUGAAUAGUAUUAGAACUGGAUUGAGCCCGAACCCUUCUUUCUUUGCGCUCCUUGAAAGAAAAUAUUGUCCAAAAAAUUCAGAUCACCAUUGACAAAUGACAAGACAGUGUCUGUGUGUGUUACACAUAUCGUUCUCUGAUUAACAGCUUCAUUCCUAUGCCUUGCUGGACAAUUGUUUUCUAUUUGCCUCAGAAUCUUGUAUCACUUGUUUAUUUGUUACUGCAACUCCUAUGAUGUUUCUGCAUCAAAUUGAUCAUCAAAUACAAUGCAGGAAUGUGGUUUCAUUUAGCGAUGGGGAACCUGGAAAAGGCAGCGGUAUCCCAUACUUCUACUUGACAACUCUUGAUCCGACUGCAAGAAAUGCAGGGAAAGACCAAAGGGCUUCAUUGACAAUUAGUGAGCAUCCUAUUGGAACCUGUGGCAAAGUUGACCCUGAGAAUCCCACCUGUGCAAAGAUUACACUUACAGGAAAGGUGUGUAGCAACUUUGAGUUGAUUCAUUACAUGCUAAAAUAACAGAUAUGUAAAAAGAGGUAUUACGCUAAGUUUACUGACCCAGAGUUUCUGAUUUUAGUUGAGGUAUGCCAAUGGAAGUCCCAAAGAAAAAGAAAUUGCUAAAAAGGCCUUGUUCUCAAAGCAUCCAGAGAUGAAAUGUAAGUACACACAAUAUGGGGUAGAAACACAAUAUUACAUCUUUUGUGUCUAUAACCACCUUCUCACCAUUUCAUUUGUUGCUCAUGAACUAUAUUGAUCUUUAUUAUUGUUGGAUGAUUAACAGACUGGCCCAAGGGUCACAACUUCCAGUUCUUCAAAUUAGACAUCGAGAAUAUCUUUUUGAUUGAUUGGUUUGGGGGUCCAAAACCUCUCACAGUGGACCAAUACCUUCAAGCCAAAUUGUAAGUGUCAAGAGGACAAAAUAGAGAAGAUAAUAUACAGUAGAACCAAAAACAUGAAUGUAAUCUGAUGAAUAAAUGAAGAAAUAAUACGGUUUAGUGUCUCAACUUUAAAGUGUUUAUCUUUAAUUUCCUUUUCUUAUCCUACUUCCUGAAAUUGAUUUUGGUCCUCUACAGGACAGAACAUGCCUUCAACCUGUGAUUGAUCAUCCGGCUGUGGUUCAGCUUGAAUUCGAAUUGUUAUGAGUUGGAUCAUUUGGAUUGUGUACAGUGAACCUGUGUAAAUGAAAAGAAACAAAUGUAUAUAAUCAUGUAUUUCUAUGAAUUGUCACAGAAAUCUGCUAUCCUAUAAUUUGAUAAAAUAACAGGAGGGAACAUUAUUUGUACAAGGGAGUUCAAUUUUCUGUGUUGUAAGCUGAAAAAAAGUGAUACAGUGGAAAUUGGCAAGCUCUUCAUUUGUGUUUGAUUCAUAUAUUCCACCUUAUAGAGAUUUUCUCAUGUAAGGACAUCCUUAUUUAUUCUUAUGAUGCGGAUUUUCACUUUAGUCUUUAGGUACUAAUGUGUAGAUCAUCUAUACAAAUUUUCAGUCAAUUUGAUAAUCAUUAAAACACUCAAACUCGAUUAAACCAAUAGACAAACUGAAUUCUGUUAAACUUGAGCCGUUCAUGUUUAAAACAGGAAAAUACAAUUUUGAGGGCCUUAACAAUUAUUAAAUUAGAAAUCUGCACCAUAUGAAUAAAUAAAGACAUCCUUAGUAGACACAAGACAAAGUGAAUAUUCAAGAACAAACAUCCUAUGUGGAAUCAGAAUUCCUUAUUCGACUAGCAUUACACCAAGACACACACAAAGUGAAUAUUCUAGAACAACAUUCUAUUAUCAUAAAUAUUUUUCACAAAUUUAUGUUCAAAUCAACGACAUUCUACUAUCAGAAGAGACCCAAGCCCCAACAUAACGUCUGUGUCACUCAUGUUCGAAUCAUAGACAUUCUAUUAUUACUAGAGCCCCAACAUGACCCAAUAUAACGUUCGUGUCACGUCCGCGCCACGCUGUAUGUUUCCGCUAGACCAACCCAACUAGAAUUCAUUGAAGUUGAUUAUGAGCUUCAUUUCAUUUUAUUUUGUUAGAAAUUCUUGCGUGCAUGACGUGUAUUUACACGACGCAAUUUUAACCGUUUAUAACAAUUCAUAUGUUUGACCACCAUAUUUCUAUAUUAUUUCAUCUAAUUCUGACCAUCCAUGUAUGUAUGUGAACUCAUGUGUGACAAUUCCACCCAGAAGGUUCCUUAUUUUAUACAUAUAUAUAUAUAUAUAUAUAUAUAUAUAUAUAUAUGAUGAUAUAUGAAGAUAUCACGAGCGAGUCACGUGAGUAAGGAUAGAGAUAGAUAGUCGUUACUGGAUUCGUUAACCAUAUCACCCGCCUGAACUUGAAGUCUUCACUCUUCACAAUCACCAACGAUGCACCUCUUCAUCUUCGUCUUCAAAUUCUAAGCUCCCCCUAAAAAUGUUGCACCCCCUAACUCACCUUCCCUCCUCUCUCCCGCCAAAAACCCUAACCGACCUCCACUCCUUCUCCCCCUUCUUCUCCUUCCCCAAACCCCCCAAACCCUCCCAAUUCACCAUCCGGAGCUCCGCCGCCGACUCCAAAACCCUCGCCGCCAAUUCCGCCAUCCAACGAAUCGCGGAGAAGCUCCGCAGCCUCGGGUUCACCGAAGACAACAAUAAACCCGACUCCAAACCCGGCCCAAGCUCCGCCGGCGAAAUCUUCGUCCCUCUGCCGGAGACUCUCCCCAAGUACCGCGUCGGCCACACUAUCGACCCGAGCUGGAGCACGCCGGAGAAGCCGGUCCCGGCGCCGGGGACCGGGAGGGCGAUUUCGAGGUUUCAUGAGAUGAGGAGGGAGCUGAAGAGGCUGGAGGAGGUGGAGGAGAUGGAGAGGAAGAAGGAGGGGAAGAAGAAGGAGGAGAAGGUGCCAACGUUGGCGGAGAUGAGCUUGUCUACGGCGGAGCUGAGGCGGUUGAGGACGGUUGGGAUUGAGCUGAAGAAGAAGGUGAGAGUUGGGAAGGCUGGGAUUACUGAGGGGAUUGUGAAUGGGAUUCAUGAGAAUUGGCGGCGGUCGGAGGUUGUGAAGCUUGUUUGUGAGGAUUUGUGUAGGUUGAACAUGAAGAGGACUCAUGACUUGUUGGAGGUAAGAAUCCGUUUUCGCUAUUUGAGUUGUACAUGACUUUUCGAUAUGGGGAUUGUUUGUUUGCAAUGUGUUUUUACUUGUUGCAGAUUUGAAUUAUAUCGGAAAUGUGAUAUAGUGUGAUUGUUUAUAUAACGGAGUUAGUUAAUUUUAGUUUUUGUUGGUGACAUUAUCAGAGGAAAACUGGAGGGUUGGUUGUUUGGAGGUCAGGAGCGAAGAUAAUUUUGUAUAGGGGGGUGAACUAUAAGUAUCCUUACUUUUUAAAGGGUAAAAAGCGUGAAGAUUCGACAAGUGAUGAUUCUGGUGAUGCGGUAGUUAAUGCUGGAGGAACCGAUGAAGCAAACUCUGUGACAGGACCAAGUCCAACUGAUGAAAAAACUCAGCCAGCCUUAAUACAAGGGGUUGGUUUGGCAAAUAGGUUUCGGUUUCAGCUUCCAGGCGAGGCAGAACUUGCUGAAGAAGCUGACCGCAUGUUAGAGGGACUUGGUCCGCGGUUUAAUGAUUGGUGGGGAUAUGAACCUCUACCGGUUGAUGGGGACCUUCUACCAGCUGUUGUACCUGGAUACAGGAAGCCUUUCCGACUUCUUCCGUAUGGCUUGCAACCUAAGCUAACAGAUGAUGAAAUGACCACAAUAAGGAGACUUGCCCGACCCUUGCCAACUCAUUUUGCAUUAGGUUAGUUUGGAUUAUGAUGUCGCUACUCUUACUCUCUUCAGCCAACAUUUGUGUUUACUAGCUUUUCUCCCUAUACAGGAAGAAACAGAAAGCUUCAAGGGUUGGCUACGUCCAUUGUCAAACUCUGGGAAAAAUGUGAGAUUGCCAAAGUAGCUGUUAAAAGAGGGGUUCAGAACACUAAUUGCGAGCUGAUGGCUGAAGAGUUGAAGGUGUGAAUAUUUCUUCAAUGUAUCUAUAUUCUAUUUAUUGGAACCAGAACGCAUUAUGGCUGUUGCUUAACUUAGAACAUGUUCUUUGGCAGAGGCUGACUGGAGGAACUCUGAUUGCUCGGGACAAGGAAUUUAUUGUUUUAUACAGGGGAAAGGAUUUUCUGCCUCCUGCAGUUUCCUCUGCCAUAGAAGAGCGGAGGAAGGCUGUAAUGUAUGCAGAUAAUCGGAGUAGGAAGUUGAGGAUUUCUGCCACAACGGCACAGGAUCAUGAAUCCAGGACUGAACUGGAAACCAAAGAUGAUCUGACCGGUGGUCUUCCAUCUGAAAAAAGAAAGCUAAAAUCUACUGAGGCAGCUGCCAGUAGGGCCAGCAUUAAAUUGUCCAUGGUAUGACUUUCUGUGAUGCUACAUUUACAACACUUUUGGUUCAGCUUUUUUGUCUUACAAAUGGCACAUAUGCAAUGAACAGGCUUUAGAAAAGAGGGAAAAAGCAGAGAAACUUCUAGCGGAGCUGGAGAAAGCAGAGAGUCCCCAGCAACCUGAAAUAGAUAAAGAAGGUAUAACUGAAGAGGAAAGAUAUAUGCUAAGGAAGGUUGGCUUGAAAAUGAAGCCUUUCCUACUAAUGGGUGAGUUAUACUAUCUUUUUUCUUGGACUCAGCAGCUGUUCUAUCAUUGAUUCCUAUUAUAGGACUGAAUCAUAGGCCAUAUUAAAAAUCCAUCAAACUAUGCGGCUCCUUCAGCAUGAUUGCCAAGAAAGAUUAAUAAAGUCUCUUAAAAUGUUCAGGUCGACGAGGAGUAUUUGAUGGGACAAUUGAAAACAUGCAUCUCCAUUGGAAAUAUAGGGAGCUCGUGAAGAUUAUUUGUAAUGAGAAAAGCAUUGAAUCUGCUCACCAAGUAGCACAAACUUUAGAGUCCGAAAGUGGUGGGAUUCUUGUGGCAGUGGAGAGAGUAAGUAAGGGUUACGCAAUCAUCGUGUACCGUGGAAAAAAUUAUAUCCGGCCUGCUAAUUUGAGACCUCAAACACUUCUGACUAAACGAGAAGCACUGAAGCGUUCUAUUGAGGCACAGCGUCGUGAGGUAGAAUUUGCGUUUUAUCUAUUUGUCAUUAUCAAUCUGCAUCCACUAACUUAAAAUGUUUAAGGAAAAAAGAAAGAUAGAAAGAAUCAUAUGAUGCAAGUCCAUUCAUAGAGGCCGGAUUAAUGGCCAAGUUGUCUAAUCCUAUCAAUUCUAAUUCCCCCCUCUAGAUUGAUUUUGGCUGAAACACUGCCUUUUGAUCUUAGAAUGACCUGAAAUGAAAGAUAACGGAUAUAGUUGCAUUGUCAUGUAAAAUCUAUAGGACAAGGAUCUUGGAACAAUCUUGACUGUUUUUGAUGUUGAAAGCUAUUUCAUAGUCUUUUGUAUUGUUCUUACUUUUAUCAUGUCUACUUCAACAUCUGAUUCUGUUUUCUUUUUUCCUGCUGUGAAAUGCAGUCCUUGAAACUUCAUGUUUUAAAGCUUAACAAGAACAUAGAUGAAUUGGAGGAAUUGGUGGUGAGCUUUCCUAUUAUUCUAUAAUUCAAUAUUUUUACUCUAUCCUUUUUGCUUUUUUGCACAUCAAAGAGACAAUUAUACAUUAUUUUCCUGAACCAGGUUAAAGGCAAGGACUCAAACAAUAUGCAUCCAGUUAAUGAAUCAAAGGAAUUGGUGAGCUAUCUGAUGACUAUAUACUUUGAUGUGCAUCAGAUAUUUAGCUGGAUUAUAGUUAACAGUUUUUUUGCGCCACAUAAAUCAGGUCAGGGAGGAGGUAAAUAAUGUUGAAUCAGAAGAAUGUAUGCAUGAAGAGAAUCUCAAGGUAAAGACUACAAAGUAUGAUAAUGUCUCAGACAUCUGUAUAAUAUUUGUAACUUAUAGUUUUGUUCUUCAAAAGUGAUAUCUGAUAAUCUGAUAUAGUGCAUAAAUGUUUUUCAAGGCUAGAGGCAAACAAGAAUCUCAUGUGACCAACAUGAAUUUAAAUGAUGGAAUGGUUGCUGUUGUGAAAGGCCACUUAGCCACACAACAGGGUGAGGGGUAUGGUCUCUCUUCAAGUUGUGAUGGAGAGGAGACUGAUGAAGUGGAAUCAAGGUCUUCGAAUGGAUCAGUUACGAUUGAAUCCCAGGAAAAUUUGUUCAAUAAUGUAAAAGGAGAAGUUGGAAUAUUGAACAAGGCUAGAGACAAACAAGAACUUGAUGGUAUAGAUGCGGAUGCGGAUUUAUUUGAUGGAAUGAGUCCUGUCAUAAAUGGCCAGUUAGCCACACAGCAAGGUAAGGAGAUUACUUUCUCUUUGGCCUACGAUGAGGAUGGGCCUGGUAAAGUUGAAUCAGUAUCUUCAGAUGAAUCUGUUACAAGUAAAACCCAAGUGGAUUUGUUCGAAGAUAUAAAAGAAGAAGCUGGAGUGUUUAUCAAUGCUAGAGAUAACCAAGAUUCGCAGGUGACUCAGAUGGAUUUAAAUGUUGGAACGGGUGCUGUAGUUAACAGCCAAUUAGCCACUCAACAGGAUAAGGAGAUUUUCUCUUUUAUCUGUGAUGAGAAUGAGAGUGGUAAAGUCGAUCCAGGAUCUUCGGUUACAAUUGAUUCCAAUGCAACUUUCUUCAAGGAUAGAAAUAGAGAAGUUGAAGGUUAUGUUUGCCGUGAAGAUGUUAUGGUAAUAUAAAGAUGUCGUAUGCUAGUUGAUAUUAGUUUAUCUUCUUUUCUUUGGCAACCUCUUAUGUUGUCUGGUUUUGUGGUGAUUCCAGUCAAAAGGUCCAAGCAGUUCUGCUAUUCUUGACAAUCAGCAUCGUGUUUUUGAUUAUGAGCUGGAAUCAUCAGGUAGAUCUGGUAAUACUAAAUCAAAAUCUCCAGUUCCAACAAUGGUAAGAAAGACAUUAAAUGAGAUGCCCUCGAGAGCUGUGCAUUUGUCCAACAGUGAGAGGCUUCUACUGCGAAAGCAAGCCCUGAAGAUGAAAAAACGCCCUGUGCUUGCCGUUGGUAAUUUGUUUUCCAUUUUGAGUUUUCUUAUUUCCCUCUUAUUGUUAAACUAUUCUUGCUAAAACAGUUGUUAUUUGAUAGGAAAUGUACUGCACUGAUUUCUAGUUUGUACCUGAACCUUACUUUCGCACCAUGGAUUUUCUUUUUCAUGCUUAUUUUGAAAAUGCUAACUAUCCCUGACAUUAUAUUGGUUCAUGAUUACAUGUCCUAGUAUAUAGAUUGCCAAAAUCCUAAUCUAUAUGCAACCUCAUUAUUUCUGAAGUGUGCUGUUGUUAUCACUUCUUAGGUAGGAACAAUAUUGUAACUGGUGUUGCGAAAGCAAUCAAAGCGCACUUCGAGAGGUAUCCUCUUGCCAUAGUAAAUGUCAAAGGCAGAGCAAAAGGAACUUCAGUAAGGGAAAUUGUUUUUAAGCUGGAGGUGCGCACAAAAAUUCCUCUCUUUUUCUCCCCUAGUUUAGGCUAUUCUGUGCUUCCAUUUAAACUUGUCUGAAUCUCUCUUGUUUAGGCUAUUCUGUGCUUCCAUUGUAACUUGUAUGAAUUUAUUGUUUCUCUUCCACAGCAAGCAACAGGUGCGGUUUUAGUCUCCCAGGAGCCAAGCAAAGUUAUUCUUUACAGGGGUUGGGGUGCAGGAGAUAGUCCUGGAAAUAAUGAUAAGAAGAACACAAUUGGGAAAAAGGUUGCUCCUGUGUCUCCUGAACUCUUGGCAGCAAUAAGACUCGAGUGUGGUUUACAGAACCACGAAAAGGAAGAUGCAACUGCUUAGGUUGGAUCCUAAGCUUGUACCAGAAGUUACCAACUGCAGAGACCAUGCACAUACAAUACCUAGUUAGCAAGAAUUCACAUUCAUUCACAUCAUCAACUUGAGCCUGAACAUAUCCGGAAACUCAUCUACCCCUUUUGGCAUCUCCAAUCCAGGAAUCUAUGAGAUCAUAUCUUCGGAAGAUUCAACAAGCAUCGGUAUGACUUGUAUGCUAAAUAGAUUGUACCCUAUCUGUAUAUAGAAUGCUGUCUUGACAUAUUCAGUGGCUGAUCUGCUACAUUGGAAAUCAGAGAGCUUUGUUUUGGGGUCAAAAUGAGGGUAAUUCACUAUGCACCCUUCUGUAUGUUAAUCUUGAACAUUUUUGUAAACAUACCUAGAGACUGAAAUAGAAGCACCUGUUCUCUCAUCCUAGAGUAAGGUUAGCCAAAAACUCCUGGUAAGGUCGGUCAGGUGCAUCAGACAAUGAGAUAGUUGUGUAGACCCAUCGACUACGACAUAAUAUUGGCCCAUACUCGCUGCAGGCAUGCCUUUCAUUCUUGUUGUCGAUUCUAGGACCAUGUCCCCAACCCCACUUUCUUCUUCCUUCAACAGUUGAACUCCUUUUUUGUCUUUUUACUUCCGUAUUCUUUGAAUCUUUUCUAGGUGGAGGAUUGUGUAAUUUUUGUUAUUCUAUGCCUUCUUCCUGUUGAUAGUUGAGACGAUACGAAGAGUUAAUUAGCGUAAUGAUAAUUCUCUCUAUGUUUAAAGUUGUAUCGGGCUAAAAAGGAGGUAUAAUCUUGUCUGGAAGACAUGUGAAUAUGAACUGCGACUAGUUGUUUUCUAUCAUUAGUCCUGUGUACGUCCAUCUUUUUCUACUAAUGUGUGAUGAACUACAUCCGUAAUUUAGUUGCAUACAACCGUAGCAAUGAAAGAAAAUGGUGAAAAUUACAUGGCUUCAGGCCUUGGUUUCUUUUGAUAUUGAUAAGACUCUGAAGUGUUUCAAUUAUACAGAUAAUAUGAUGACCUGAAAAAACUGAAGCAGCUGAAACCUGAAGCAGCUGGCAACCCCUGGCAUAACAAAUGGGCAUCAGCUAAACUUAAUGCAAGAUAAGUUCUCACAUAGAAGUUACGCAGUACAAUACACACAACAUUGUUAUUAGUAAAAGUGUUGGUAACAUAUUCAACCGUAAGGUGAAGGUGUUGAUUAUAACUAAAUUACGUAUUGAAAUAAAUAUAACCGUCUUCUUUUUUGUUAUAAAUAAACUACUAUAUCAUCGCUUUGCCUUCUUGUCAUUGUACUGGCUCNCCCUUUUUUUUUUUUUUUUUUUGAAUAUCAACGACCGUAUCAUCAAAGACUCACCAGGUCCAGAAACUAAUCCGCGUCGAGAAAUACUUCCUCAUUUAGUUUUACUUAUUUUCCGUCGAAGAAAAACUUUUGACAUAGGACAUUGAUUCUAAUCAAUUAAUUAAUCAUACUUGCAAGUUUAAGAUUGAUCAACCAAAACAUGCAUCUCAACUAAAUCAAACUGAAACUGCUGCUAGUGUAAUUUUCAAAGAGAAAUAUAACAGAUUAUGAGCUUAGUCGAAGCUGGCGCAUGAUAACAUGGACUUGGCGCAUGAUAACAUUGACUAUGACGCCGGAGCAAGAAGCUAGUCAAAUAUGUAACUGUACUGUGUAUGACAUUGGAGAAAAAAACACACUAAUUUUCUCAAUGGUAGAAGACGAAGUUUAACUUGCCCAAAAUCGCAAUAUUGUUUCACACGCGCUUGGAGUUCAGAUGAGACUGGUUAAGCCACACACUUUCUCUCUCUCUAUCAUAUGUCAGAUAGAGAGAGAGAAGAGAGAAAGAGAGAGGAGUCUUGGGCUUCAUAAAUGAAAAUCAUCAUCACACACACUUUUUCUCUCUCUAUCAUAUGUCAGAUAGAGAGAGAGAAGAGAGAAAGAGAGAGGAAGAGAGAGGUAGGCACAAAAAACCUAGAAAUUUAGCUGCCUUUCUUUCAACGCCAGAGGCCAAACGCAAUCAUGCUGUCUUCUCCUUACCUUCUUUAUCGCCAUCAUUGCUCCCACUCCAUCUUCUUCUGCUCCAACCCCUCCUCAACCACCCCACAAAGUCCAGACCAUCAUCAUUAUCACCAACAAAGGAGAAAGAAGAAGAAGAAGAAGAAGAAAGCUUUUCAAGGAAAACCAGAAAGAUCUACCCUAGCUGUUCUCAGCUUUCUCUUUGGUUGCCAGUGAUGAACAAGUGAAAAGUGUGUUUCUGAUCCGACUAUUUCAAAGAUUUUUUCAAGUCUUUGCUUUUGGGGAAUCAAGCAUCAUGGUCCGACUCUACUUCGAUUUGCUUGUGUAUGUUCCAUCAAAGCUGCAUCAGAUCGUUUCUCUAGUUCUUGUAUCGAUCGGUUUGUAGUUCUCUCUCUUGUUUAUGUGAUCCUUGUAGUUGGGAUCUUGUUGGAUAAGGGUUUCUGUCAUUAGGUUACUUAAGAACAAUUAAGUUACUAGCUAGCUAGCUAUUUGGUUACGAAGAAGGUCUUAUGCUCUAUCUCUCUGAUCUGUGUAUGGAUUCCUCUUGUUAAUCAUCAGAUUUGGCGUCUCUUCAACUCAACGUUAGCUUGAAGAUGAUUGAAUUUGUGUGGUUCGAAUUUCCUGGUGAAAUGAUAAUAAGAUAUAUAUUACUGUUGAAAUCCAAUAAUUCUAGAUAUGUAUAUAUGUGAAUGCGUGGUUUGGUACUCUGGUUAGUAUGAACUGUAUGAUUAGUUUCUACUUCAACUUCCUGAUGCAGAAAACUUGAUUAGCUAGUGUAUGAUUGAACCAAAGUAUCGUACUCGGUUAUGUUAAUUAAGUCAUGAGUUCCUUGAAAACUUUUCUUUCUAGCUAGAUCCACUCCAUAAUCCAUAGUAGGGUUUUCAUUUAGAGAUGUGUGAAUUGAUAUAUGUGAUUUCUUAUAUUGAUUAAUGGAGAUUCAGGUAUUGAGUACUGAGUACUGUCGUACUGACCUGAGUAUUUUUUGAAGAUUCUGUUAGCUUCAACAGGAUGAGAAGAAACAAGAACAUAAAACAAAUGUUUGGUACUCAUAAUUAUCUAUGUUCUACUUUAAAUAUCUUUAUAAACUUGAUUACUUUAUAAAGCACGCACCAUAUAUAUAUAAACAGUUAUUCAUGUAGAUACUUCUUCGUCUUCCUCUUCCAUACUGUAUUUAUUUCCCAACAGCAAACACAUGUGUAAGUUGGAUUCUUGAGUGUUCUUCGUCUGGGAAUUUACCAGAUGAUAUAUACUUGAUAGC